UCAGGAGGAACACCGGUGGUGUAGACGGCUAUCUGGACCGUAACUGACGCUGAGACACGAAAGCGUGGGUAGCAAACAGGAUUAGAUACCCUGGUAGUCCACGCCCUAAACGAUGCAUAUUUGGUGUGGGCAGUUCAGUCUGUCCGUGCCGGAGCUAACGCGUUAAAUAUGCCGCCUGGGGAGUACAGUCGCAAGGCUGAAACUCAAAGGAAUUGACGGGGGCCCGCACAAGCGGUGGAGCAUGUGGUUCAAUUCGACGCAACGCGAAGAACCUUACCUGGGCUCGAACGGCUGGUCACCGCCGGUGGAAACAUCGGUACCCCGCAAGGGGGUCCAGUCGAGGCGCUGCAUGGCUGUCGUCAGCUCGUGUCGUGAGAUGUUGGGUUAAGUCCCGCAACGAGCGCAACCCUUGUCCUGUGUUGCCAUCAUUCAGUUGGGAACUCGCAGGAGACCGCCAGCGAUAAGCUGGAGGAAGGUGGGGAUGACGUCAAGUCCUCAUGGCCUUUAUGUCCAGGGCUACACACGUGCUACAAUGGCCGGUACAAAGCGCCGCAAACCCGCGAGGGGGAGCCAAUCGCAAAAAGCCGGUCUCAGUUCGGAUUGCAGGCUGCAACCCGCCUGCAUGAAGCUGGAACCGCUAGUAAUGGCAGAUCAGCACGCUGCCGUGAAUACGUUCCCGGGCCUUGUACACACCGCCCGUCACAUCACGAAAGUGGAUUGUACUAGAAGUCUGCGCGCUAACCGCAAGGAGGCAGCGGCCCAAG
rnacentral:rRNA from 1 species